AUUCUUAAUUUCAAAGUCCUACCAUGAGCCCCCACCACUUCCUCAGGUCAAUUGGAGCAUGUGAGUCACUUGUACCUAUGUACAGGUGUGGAGCCAGGUUAACAUGAUUGGCAUGGGUUAGUCAGGGGCACUGUUGUCUGGGCUCCUGCUUCACUGUCUGCUCAGCCAUUUUCUCAAGCUGGACUGUGCUUUGGAAAUGUUACAGAAACAAGCAUCACCACCUCCCUCUUGUCACUUUCUGUUGGAGCCCUCCUGCUGGAAUGAGGUACUCCCAAAAGUGGAUCCUUUCAGCUCUGAGCCACCAUGAGAUUACCAGAUCUCCUCCACCACAUGCUUCUGUGAUGUGCUGCCCUACCACAGACCCAGAGGAUCAUGGACUGAAAGCUCUGAAACCAUGAGUGAAAAGAAAC
ensembl:lncRNA